AUUGAACGCUGGCGGCAGGCCUAACACAUGCAAGUCGAGCGAGUGGCGGACGGGUGAGUAAUGUAUGGGGAUCUGCCCGAUAGAGGGGGAUAACUACUGGAAACGGUGGCUAAUACCGCAUACUAUCAGAUGAACCCAUAUGGGAUUAGCUAGUAGGUGGGGUAACGGCUCACCUAGGCGACGAUCUCUAGCUGGGCUGAGAGGAUGAUCAGCCACACUGGAACUGAGACACGGUCCAGACUCCUACGGGAGGCAGCAGUGGGGAAUAUUGCACAAUGGGCGCAAGCCUGAUGCAGCCAUGCCGCGUGUAUGAAGAAGGCCUUAGGGUUGUAAAGUACUUUCAGCGGGGAGGCGUUACCCGCAGAAGAAGCACCGGCUAACUCCGUGCCAGCAGCCGCGGUAAUAC
rnacentral:rRNA from 1 species